CACUCUCCUCUCGCAGCCACGCUUUGAGCUGUCAAAAUGCUUAGGACUGGAAGUACAGUCCCACAGAGCCAGCAAAACUGUGAGGGACAGCGUCUCAGUGGGGUAUAUUUAUCUCUGGUGUAUCUCCACUGACGGCUGCUGGCCAUGGUCUUGGCUCGUUUCUCCCAGUAACAUAACUAAAAUUCCACACAUGGUGCGUGGCUCAGUUCAGCUGCAGAGAACCAUCCGUAAUAGGAAUCACAGUGUAACACUGGGCAGAUAAUAUUCUUCAUGUCUCAGUAGCCCUGAAGAGACCAAAGCUCCCUUUUGAAAGCGUUAGACGAAUAAGCAGUGAGAAUCACAGAGCAGUUCUUGCUGGCAAAUGCUCCAGUCAGCACACCUCAUGAACCUCUCUAUUACCAUCCUGAAUCAAAACCACUGGCCAUCACCAUCCCCAGCCCAUGCUCUGCUCCCAAGGCAGCUCCUCGUACCCGUCUGAGUUUGUAUUUAGCAAUUCCUGUAGCAGAGAAGGGGGUGUGGGAUGAGGAAAUGUGUCGUAGCCAGGAAGCUGCUGCAUGGCUGGAGGCAGGGAAUGGAGAGUUCAGAGGGAAGUGGGCUGCGGGGAAUUUCCUCCCUUUACCGCUUGACAUUUAAGUCGCUGUGCAGAGCUCAGGCUGCGUUUAGUUUGUUUUAACCCUCCUAUCUGGGGAUGUGGGCCCAGCGGAGCUCAUGCCGGAAUGCAGAGCGAGUUCAGAGCCGCUGAGGGAUGUCUGGAUCUAAUUUAGGUUUAUUAUUUUAAUGACAUUACUGUUUAUUUCAUUUAACACUGAGUAGGUGAACGUGACCAGAGAACUGGGAGAACACAUACGAGGAGGAGCAGAUUAAUCCUGCCCAAACCUAAAACCCAGCAGAUAAAAUCCUGCUGACGUUACCGAGCUCUUUGAAGGCACAAGGCUCCUGCUGCAAUCCUGGUAUCGCAGUGUCACUGCAAAAGGACAGGGAUGGAAAUAAUAACCCCUCAGCGGCCAACAAAUGACAGAGAAGGGUGAGGUCAGGAAUACAUGCCUCGGGGAUGGGUGAUCUCAUCCUGGCCUUUGGUGCACGACCGCCCACAUUACAGCACUGCCGCACGGCCGGUGCGGUUACCAGCCCCGACGUGAAAGUUUGCUGAGCUCCUUCAUCUCAGAGACCUGAACUUCUCAAGUUAUCCUCUUCAGGGAGGGCGGGAAAGCAAGCAGCCAGAGAAAUAGGAAAACUCCAUGUCUGAGGCAAAGGAAAAGCAUCUGAGUUGAGAGAGCGCCAGAAUGGGGCUUUUGUCUCUGUUUUUACCCUUGGCAAGCAGCCAUCCCCUCUAUGUGACCCUACCUGGGUCACAAAGAGAUCCUUUAUGUUUGUCCUGCACCACUAAGAUAAAGACUGAAAGACUCAACCCUGCUGAUCUCCAGGUCCCCUUCAACCUCCUGGGAGCUGGAGGAUACUCGGCAUCACAGAGAGACAAGGUUGCUUCCAGAGUCCCACCCCAACACACGGGUGUUAGACGCAUGUUCUGGACAAGCUCCUGCUCCAUUUAGUCUCUAGUGUCCCAAAGAAGUUAAAGCAAUCCUUUUACAUCAUCCCAAGACACAAAAGUUGUGUCUUUACUCAGUGGUCGCACCUCCUUGCAGCACACAGCUCACAGGUUGUCCCUGCACCUGAUCAAGGCAGGGAAUUCCCUUCAGGCCACCUUUCUCCUUUCCUUUACAGACUUUAGGCCUUGUUUUUUAAACUGCUUUUGUGCUUGCUGUAAGGGACAAUCAAUAAGACAUUUAAAAUCCUGCUACAGAAACCCCUACAUUCAUGAUUGAAUGCAGAAAACCAAUUCCAUUAGCUAUUCAUGGAGCAGAUGCUGCGACUUAACGCGUAUCUGUCUGUAAGCUUGGCCCUUAAGAAGGAAAAUACCAAACACCCAAAAACAUUAAAGCAUUAACCAAAGAACCACACUUGGCAAACAAUUUCCUUAAUGAGAAGUUGAUAAAAAGGGGGGGAAAGACUCACUGAAACUUGUAUUUAUAUGAAGUAUAAUUUCCAGGAAAGUCCUCUUCACUGACCCACAUUCAUGGGCUGUGACCCUCCAUUCAGUGCACAAUGUCUAGACUGCCUGAAAUAAUAAUUUACUUCUCUAUCCAAGGAGCUCAAAGUGUUUUAACAGAUCACUUUUGGGUAUAUAUUGCUUUUACCAGGGGCAAAAUACAGAUGUUAACUGCAUGACUAUUAAAAGCAGAGUGGAUCCUCUGGUCUCUAGAAGACUCUUUGUCUAGUAGUUUUUUAACCUGUCAAAUAAUACACUUUAAAAAAUCCCCAAAACAACAAAAACCCCAACUCUAAAACCUAAAUAUAAACCACUGUUUAGGGGGAAAAAACCCCAAGCCCAAGAGUGAUGCUCUCUAAUCUAUGGAGUGAUGAUACUGAUCUGUGCAGUCUCUCUGCACAGGAUUGCCUGUUCUUCCCCUGCUCUCAGGAGUUUUGCAAGGCUUGAUUUUUAUUCUGGCAAGAAUAUGCAGAAACAAGAAGAGAAAAAAACCCUUUAGAAAGUAACCUGCUUGGUUCUGCGUGGGCCUGCUGCACACAACCUGCCUUCCCAGAGGUUUCUGAGCAGUUUCUCAGGAUCUGAGCACGCCAGAGCUGCAAGUGUUUGCAUUGAUGCCUCCUUUCCUGCCACUGGGGUAUGUAAUAUCAUACAAACAUCUUGCUUUACUGAGCCUUCACUCACGUGAGGGUGCAGAUAUAGGGUGCUGUAGAUGGAGGCACAGCAGAUAACAGGAAAUCCAUCUCCCUUCAUUUCACCUCCGCUGAAAGAAACCUGAAGCCUGGUGGAACGACUUUCACCCCCAUCUGCUCCAGGUAAUACAAUAGCCAUUUGCAAUUCACCUUCAUAACCAAACCCAAAGCCUGAAUAACAAAUGCAAUAUGGGAAACACUCUGCCAGGACAGGUCAGGAGCACAUUCCAGAAGAUUGCUGUUGAUGAGGAUAAAUACAGUAUUUGUGUUCUGCUCAGACUGUACUUUCUGGUGAUGUGGUACAACGUUACUGCCUGCAUCUUGUGUUGGCCAUCCCCUCUGCUCUUGUUUUGCACACACAAACCUUAGCUACAAGUGCAGCCAGCCUCAUGCAAUUGCAUAAAGAAACGUGCCUGCAUAUGAACCAACUGUUGAAGGCAAUAUUAGCACCUCUUCAUGAAGGGCCUCAACACGUGAAGGUCUCCAACAUGAGGGACUGAUAAAAGCACAAGGCGUCCAAGUCACUAUCUCAGUUCCUGGAAAUCUGAUGGGCUCAGACCAGCUGAAAUACUCAGCCUCUGAACCUGCCCUCCCACAUGGAAACUGACCUCCCUCCCAUUUAACCCACUUAGGUCUAACUUAGGAUACAUAUGGGAAGAUGCUUGUAUUCCUGUUGCCUGAAGCUUUAUCUCCUUUCUUUUUCUAGGGCUCCAAUUCAGCAAGCACUGAGCAAUCCCAUUUUCAACUGUUUCAGCCUGAGAAUGGUCUGGGAUGCUGUGUCUGUUUCCAGGGUCAAACAAAGCAGGCAUGCCCUUUAAAAAACCCUACGUCAUGAUUAUAGAAUUUGAAUCUGUGAGUUCCUGAAGCUUCAGCUGGAGUCAACAGGUAUCUGGGGCACUGAGAAGCAAUCUGCAGAGAGUCAAUGUUUGCAGGACCAGGCUGCAGCUCUCUUGUCAUUUACCCUUCCUGGAGAUAACUGGAGAAGCCCUUUUGAAAGGAAUGAGCUGGAGAGAAGACUGAAAAACGCAGGAACGUGUGUCACCAGGGGACCGGUCCUGCCUCUACUCAAGACCUUCAGCUGUGACCAUACC